GUUGAACGCUGGCGGCAUGCCUAAUACAUGCAAGUCGAGCGAACAAAUAGGGAGUUUUCUCCUUUGAAGUUAGCGGCGGGUGGGUGAGUCCCAGGGGUCUGACCUAUCUUUGGGACUGAGAUCCGUUAGGGAACCCGGAGAUCACAUCGGAUCAGAUUUCGAAACGCGUGGUUCGUUAGAGCAAGCUGUAUUUGAUAACACUUGUUGAUAGUCCCUAGUCGUAUUAGUUAGUUGGUACGGUAACGGCCUACCAAGGCGACGAUACGUAGCUGACCUGAGAGGAUGAUCGGCCACACUGGAACUGAGACACGGUCCAGACUCCUACGGGAGGCAGCAGUAGGGAAUCUUGGACAAUGGGCGAAAGCCUGACGCAGCAACGCCGCGUGAGUGAAGAAGGUCUUCGGAUUGUAAAGCACUUUUAGUUGGGAGGAAGAGACGUAAAUUAAUAUGUUCACGUUUUGACGUUACCAAAACAAAAAGCCACGGCUAACUACGUG
rnacentral:rRNA from 1 species